rnacentral:rRNA from 1 species
UGACCGCUGGCGGCGUGCCUAAUACAUGCAAGUCGCGCGAACAGACGAGGAGCUUGCUCCUCUGACGUUAGCGGCGGACGGGUGAGUAACACGUGGAUAACCUACCUAUAAGACUGGGAUAACUUCGGGAAACCGGAGCUAAUACCGGAUAAUAUAUUGAACCGCAUGGUUCAAUAGUGAAAGACGGUUUUGCUGUCACUUAUAGAUGGAUCCGCGCCGCAUUAGCUAGUUGGUAAGGUAACGGCUUACCAAGGCGACGAUGCGUAGCCGACCUGAGAGGGUGAUCGGCCACACUGGAACUGAGACACGGUCCAGACUCCUACGGGAGGCAGCAGUAGGGAAUCUUCCGCAAUGGGCGAAAGCCUGACGGAGCAACGCCGCGUGAGUGAUGAAGGUCUUCGGAUCGUAAAACUCUGUUAUUAGGGAAGAACAAAUGUGUAAGUAACUAUGCACGUCUUGACGGUACCUAAUCAGAAAGCCACGGCUAACUACGUG